rnacentral:rRNA from 1 species
UACUGAUGAGCUUGAAUGAACUAGAGGUAGGCGGAAUGUGACAAGUAGCGGUGAAAUGCAUAGAUAUGUCACAGAACACCGAUUGCGAAGGCAGCUUACUAUGGUUUUAUUGACGCUGAGGCACGAAAGCGUGGGGAUCAAACAGGAUUAGAUACCCUGGUAGUCCACGCCCUAAACGAUGAAUACUCGCUGUUAGCGAUACACAGUUAGCGGCUAAGCGAAAGCGUUAAGUAUUCCACCUGGGGAGUACGCCCGCAAGGGUGAAACUCAAAGGAAUUGACGGGGGCCCGCACAAGCGGAGGAGCAUGUGGUUUAAUUCGAUGAUACGCGAGGAACCUUACCCGGGCUUGAAAGUUAGUGAAUGGUUUAGAGAUAGACCAGUGAGCAAUCACACGAAACUAGGUGCUGCAUGGCUGUCGUCAGCUCGUGCCGUGAGGUGUUGGGUUAAGUCCCGCAACGAGCGCAACCCCUAUGUUUAGUUGCCAGCACGUUAAGGUGGGGACUCUAAACAGACUGCCUGUGCAAACAGAGAGGAAGGAGGGGACGACGUCAAGUCAUCAUGGCCCUUACGUCCGGGGCUACACACGUGCUACAAUGGAUGGUACAGAGGGCAGCAAGCUGGCAACAGCAAGCAAAUCUCAAAAAGCCAUUCACAGUUCGGAUAGAGGUCUGCAACUCGACCUCUUGAAGUUGGAUUCGCUAGUAAUCGCGUAUCAGCAAUGACGCGGUGAAUACGUUCCCGGGCCUUGUACACACCGCCCGUCAAGCCAUGGAAGUUGGGGGUACCUAAAGUAUGUAAC